ensembl:lncRNA
CACCAAGCUAGAGCACUGACCUCGGAACCGUUAACAUGAGAAAAAAAAUGUCUUUGUUCUUUCAGCCACUGGAUUGUUGGGUCUCUUUGUUACAGAAGUCGGCAUCUUAUCCUAAGUAAAAAAAGGUGAAAAGAAUUGAAAAGUUGUGAAAGCCAGAAACUGGGAGGUGUUGAUUCCUAAUAAACAUCUUGCUCUUCAAUGUCCAUCUUCACAUCUGCUUCAGGAGACCCCAACCUGCAAUAAGACCUUAUCUCUGACACCUGGUGCUCUCCUGGUUUCUAUGCUAAGAACUGAAACCAAUAUUCUUGAUUAUGAGGAUCUGUUUGCUAACCGGGCUAAAGGGAAGUGAGUCAUGAGCACUGUGGUGUGGGCUGUCCAUAGUGACUUCCAUUGACAGAGUACACUAUAGAAAGGGGGAAAAAGUACAACUUCACAGUGGAGAAACCUGACAAACACUACUUCAGCCAGGUGAACAAGGUCAACAUCAACAGUGUAAAUCAUAUUGAUGGUAGUUACCGUUGAGAUGAUGUGAUGGCAAUGGCACUUUACCUCUGCGGUCUCCCUCCCAAAAAACCACAACCCGAGUCUAAUCAUGAGAAGAACAUCAGACAAAUUCCGAUAGUGGGACAUCCUACAAAAUAUCUGGCCUGUACUCCUUAAAGUUGUCAAAGUCAGCAAAAUCAAAGGAAGUCUGAGAAACUGCUGCAGCCAAGAGGAGCUUAAGGAGACCUGACCGCUAAAUGUAAUGUGGUAUCCUGGAUGAGAUCCUGGAACAGAAAAAGGACAUUAGGGAAAAACUGAGACAAUCUGAAUAAAGCAUGAAGUUUAGAUAAUAAUAAUGUAUUAAGUGGUUUAUUAAUUGAGGAAAAUGUACCAUACUCAUGUAAGAAGUUACUAAUAAGGGAAAAUGGCUGUAGGGUAUAUGGGAAUUCUCUGUACUAUCUUCUUGUUAUCUCUGGAAAUCUAAAACUGUUUGUAUUCGUCAGGGUUCUCCAGAGAAUCAGAACCAAUAGGAGAUAUAUAGAUAUACAGAUAUAUAGAGAGAGAUUUAUUAUGGGAAUUGGCUCACACAGUUAUAGAGCCUGAGAAGUCCCAUGAUCUGCUGUAUGCAAGCUGGAGACCCAGGAAAGCUAUGGUGCUGGGGGCAAGAGGGUGCUGGUGUAAGUCCCUGAGUCCAAAGGCCCAAGAAUCAGGAGCUCUGAUGUCCAACAGCAGGAGAAGACGGAUGCCUCAGCUCAAGAAAAGAGGAGAAUUUGCCCUCCCUCUCUGCCUUUUUGUUCUAUUAUGGCCCUCAACCGGGUGGAUGAUGCCCACCCAUGUUCCUGAGGGCAAAUCUUCUUCACUCAGUCUACUGAUUCAAAUACUACUCUCUUCUGGAAACAUCCUCACAGAUACACCCAGAAAUAAUGUUUUACCAGCUAUGUGGGUAUGUCUUAGCUCAGCUAACUUGACACAUAGAAUGAAUCAUUACACUGUUGUUAAAAAAUAAUAUUAUUAAUAAAUAUCUGUGUAUAUUUUAUUGUCGGUUCUAAAUAUUUUUAAAUUUUCAUUAUUAUUCUCUCUUUAACUCAUGUGUUAUUCAAGUCUUAUUUUUUAUUUCCAAAUAUUUGAGAAUUUUUUUAUUCAUCUUUUUUAAAAUUAAUUUCUGCCUUAUUUGCAUUUUUGUCAAAGAUCGUAGUCAUAUAAUAUCUCUACAUCCAAAUUGUUGAGGCUUUCUUAUGGCUGAGUAUAUGAUCAAUUUUUAUGUUUUCUGGGG